rnacentral:rRNA from 2 species
AGUGGUAACAAGGUUUCCGUAGGUGAACCUGCGGAAGGAUCAU